AUAUGAAAGCUAGCCUUGAGAAGGAGGUAGAUGCUACUGGUUAGAUGGCAUUUUGUUAAGCUUCUUGUCAAGAACCUCACCACAGCAGAAGACAUGGAUGCAGGGAGUUCACCAGUCCAGAGACUGAAGCUCUUCUGAGGUUUGGCCUUUAGGAAUCCUUCCACGUCACUGACUUCACCGGGUGCUCCUUUUGUCUCUACAAAAGCAAAAGAGUGAAAGGCAUUCUAUUGUUUGUUGCCAUAAGUAUUUCUUCAGAUAGGAAUAAGGUGGGAAAAUGAGAAGUGUUUAAUGGAACUCUGGCAGAUGCAACCUACUGCAUGUCUACCUCUCACAGGAAAAGGGUUGUGAUGGCCUUAGACAUGGAAGUACAAAGUUUAAACUGUUAUGGCAUAGUACUCAAUUCACUGGUAGCUGCCAUCUAUUCCUAAAGAUCCGAAUGAAGUAUUUCACCUUUGAGCACCUUUAAAUAUCAUUAAACAUCAUUGCUGCCCUUUUUGUAGACACAAAUGUCUGUUACCUCUGAGAUUGUUAUGGACCAAGUUCUUUUCUCCCUGCCCUUGCUGACAUGCUAGUGAAGAGCAAGUUAGCAAAGAUUGGGUCUAAUUAGUACUGUGCCCUCUGUUUUAACUGAGUGCAUGCUUAUGAGUUUAAACAGGAAAAAUCACUCAUAGAAAGCAGCAGAACUUUGUAAACUUCAGAUGGCUUAGUUCUGAAGACUUCCUCUGAGCACUUAGGAAAAUCAGAAGUUCAGUGCUGAUCUCAUGCCUCCAUAUCGGAGCCCUUGGAUCCCUGUCUUCCUACUGGUUAGGAUUUGAAGAAUCUCACCUUGUUGCUCGUAUGUCUUAGUCUCCAGAUUUCUGAGGUCCUCAGAGCUGAUCUUGGCACGUCUGUGACUGUUUAUUUAGAGGAUUAGACUAAGAAUGCUACAUGUUGGUCUUUCAUAAAACCCUUAACUCCAGCUGUAAACAGUCAUUUAGGAGAUUAAAUUGAAAUGGCAGCUGGAGAAGGAUUGUGGGCUCUUUAGAGGUGCUCUAAAAGUGGGAGCCAAAGCUCUUAGGGAACUGAAGAAACCUUAUUUGUAAACAGUAGUUUAGGGCAGGCAAAAUGUCUGAGUACACCAUUUGUAACCUUUCUGACACGAGAGCCAUCUGACCCUGGCCUAAAUGGAGUAAGUGAGCUGAUGGUGGGCUUGGCUGUGGCUU
ensembl:lncRNA